rnacentral:rRNA from 1 species
UGCUAAGGUCCCAAAGUACGUGUUAAGUGGAAAAGGAUGUGGGAUUUCGAAGACAACUAGGAUGUUGGCUCAGAAGCAGCCACACAUUCAAAGAGUGCGUAAUAGCUCACUAGUCGAGAGGUCSUGCGCCGAAAAUGUCCGGGGCUGAAACACGACACCGAAGCACAGGAUACCGUAUGGUAUGGUAGAGGAGCAUUGCUGGCGCAACGAAGCAGUACCGUAAGGAGCUGUGGAGUGCCAGGAAGAGAGAAUGCCGGAAUGAGUAGCGAGAGAGAGGUGGGAAUCCUCUCGGCCGAAUAUCCAAGGUUUCCAGGGUAAAGCUGAUCUGCCCUGGGUAAGUCGGGGCCUAAGGAGAGGCAGAAAUGCGUAUCCGAUGGACAGCAGGUUGAGAUUCCUGCACUAUCUUAAAACAGAACUGUGGGGACAUUUGUGGAGAGCACAGGCGCGGAACGGAAAGCCGCGUGCAAACGAAGGAGGAGUCACAUAGGAAAAACCGUGUGGCAAUCCAAAGGCGUGAUGCGGACCGAACUAAAGUAGGGAAGUGUGUGAGCCAUGAAUCAAGAAAAGCCGCUAUUGUUUUUAAGAUACCCGUACCGUAAACCGACACAGGUGGAUGAGGAGAGAAUCCUAAGGCCGGCGGAAGAAGCAUUGUUAAGGAACUCGGCAAAAUGACCCCGUAACUUCGGGAGAAGGGGUGCCAACGAGAGUUGGCCGCAGAGAAUAGGCUCAAGCAACUGUUUAGCAAAAACACAGGUCUAUGCAAAACCGUAAGGUGAGGUAUAUGGGCUGACGCCUGCCCGGUGCUGGAAGGUUAAGAGGAGAGGUUAGCGCAAGCGAAGCUUUGAAUUUAAGCCCCAGUAAACGGCGGCCGUAACUAUAACGGUCCUAAGGUAGCGAAAUUCCUUGUCGGGUAAGUUCCGACCCGCACGAAAGGCGUAAUGAUUUGAGCGCUGUCUCGACAAUGCAUCCGGUGAAAUUGAAGUACCAGUGAAGAUGCUGGUUACCCGCGCCAGGACGGAAAGACCCCAUGGAGCUUUACUCCAGUUUGGUACUGGGGUCCGGCAGUGCAUGUACAGGAUAGGUGGGAGGCUGUGAACCUGGAACGCCAGUUUCAGGGGAGCCAUUGUUGGGAUACCACCCUUGUGCUGCUGGGCUUCUAACCAGCGGCCUUUAUCAGGCCGGGGGACAAUGCCAGACGGGGAGUUUGACUGGGGCGGUCGCCUCCGAAAGGGUAUCGGAGGCGCUCAAAGGUUCCCUCAGAAUGGUCGGAAACCAUUCGAAGAGUGCAAAGGCAGAAGGGAGCUUGACUGCGACACCGACGGGUGGAGCAGGUACGAAAGUAGGACUUAGUGAUCCGGUGGUAUUAAGUGGGAAUGCCAUCGCUCAACGGAUAAAAGCUACCCUGGGGAUAACAGGCUUAUCACUCCCAAGAGUUCACAUCGACGGAGUGGUUUGGCACCUCGAUGUCGGCUCAUCGCAUCCUGGGGCUGUAGUAGGUCCCAAGGGUUGGGCUGUUCGCCCAUUAAAGC